rnacentral:rRNA from 1 species
CCUACGGGAGGCAGCAGUAGGGAAUAUUGCUCAAUGGGGGAAACCCUGAAGCAGCAACGCCGCGUGGAGGAUGAAGGUUUUCGGAUUGUAAACCCCUUUUGUUAGGGAAGAUAAUGACGGUAUCUAACGAAUAAGCACCGGCUAACUCCGUGCCAGCAGCCGCGGUAAUACGGAGGGUGCAAGCGUUACUCGGAAUCACUGGGCGUAAAGGGGGCGUAGGCGGGAUAGCAAGUCAGAUGUGAAAUCCUAGGGCUUAACCACAGAACUGCUGUUGAAACUGGUAUGCUAGAGUAUGGGAGGGGUAGGUGGAAUUCUUGGUGUAGGGGUAAAAUGCGUAGAGAUCAAGAGGAAUACUGAUUGCGAAGGCGGCCUGCUGGAACAUAACUGACGCUGAGGCGCGAAAGCGUGGGGAGCAAACAGGAUUAGAUACCCCGGUAGUC